rnacentral:rRNA from 1 species
GGCGUGCUUAACACAUGCAAGUCGAACCUUUAGGCCCCGCUUUUGUGGGGUGCUCGAGUGGCGAACGGGUGAGUAACACGUGAGUAACCUGCCCUUGACUUUGGGAUAACUUCAGGAAACUGGGGCUAAUACCGGAUAGGAGCUCCUGCUGCAUGGUGGGGGUUGGAAAGUUUCGGCGGUUGGGGAUGGACUCGCGGCUUAUCAGCUUGUUGGUGGGGUAGUGGCUUACCAAGGCUUUGACGGGUAGCCGGCCUGAGAGGGUGACCGGCCACAUUGGGACUGAGAUACGGCCCAGACUCCUACGGGAGGCAGCAGUGGGGAAUAUUGCACAAUGGGCGGAAGCCUGAUGCAGCAACGCCGCGUGCGGGAUGACGGCCUUCGGGUUGUAAACCGCUUUCGCCUGUGACGAAGCGUGAGUGACGGUAAUGGGUAAAGAAGCACCGGCUAACUACGUGCCAGCAGCCGCGGUGAUACGUAGGGUGCGAGCGUUGUCCGGAUUUAUUGGGCGUAAAGGGCUCGUAGGUGGUUGAUCGCGUCGGAAGUGUAAUCUUGGGGCUUAACCCUGAGCGUGCUUUCGAUACGGGUUGACUUGAGGAAGGUAGGGGAGAAUGGAAUUCCUGGUGGAGCGGUGGAAUGCGCAGAUAUCAGGAGGAACACCAGUGGCGAAGGCGGUUCUCUGGGCCUUUCCUGACGCUGAGGAGCGAAAGCGUGGGGAGCGAACAGGCUUAGAUACCCUGGUAGUCCACGCUGUAAACGGUGGGUACUAGGUGUGG